AGAUGCGAGGCAGUGGAGAAACACCAUGCAUCCAUUUUGGUUGUGGGUAGUCAUGGCUAUGGAGCUAUCAAGAGGGCUGUUUUAGGCAGUGUCAGUGACUACUGUGCUCAUCAUGCCCACUGCACGGUGAUGAUUGUGAAGAGGCCCAAAAUCAAACACUAAGCCACCAUACCUGCUUCACAUAAAAAUGUAUUGCAGUUGGAUCAGUCAAGGGAUUAUACUUAAAAAUAAAUUUGAUGAUGUACAAAGUGUUUUUCUAUCUUCGCAUUUGACAGUUGCUCUUGAACUGGCAUGUUUUACUCUGCUCAACUUUGAAUGAUAUGUUGAUAUUUCAUUGUAAGCGUUUGAUAGGAA